AUACGUAGGGAGCAAGCGUUGUCCGGAAUUACUGGGUGUAAAGGGAGCGUAGGCGGGAUAGCAAGUCAGGUGUGAAAACUAUGGGCUCAACCCAUAGAUUGCACUUGAAACUGCUGUUCUUGAGUGAAGUAGAGGUAAGCGGAAUUCCUAGUGUAGCGGUGAAAUGCGUAGAUAUUAGGAGGAACAUCAGUGGCGAAGGCGGCUUACUGGGCUUUUACUGACGCUGAGGCUCGAAAGCGUGGGGAGCAAACAGGAUUAGAUACCCUGGUAGUCCACGCUGUAAACGAUGAAUACUAGGUGUGGGGGGACUGACCCCCUCCGUGCCGCAGUUAACACAAUAAGUAUUCCACCUGGGGAGUACGAUCGCAAGAUUGAAACUCAAAUGAAUUGACGGGG
rnacentral:rRNA from 1 species